UACGUAGGCAGCGAGCGUUGUUCGGAGUUACUGGGCGUAAAGCGUGCGUAGGCGGUGUCUUAAGUUUGUUUGUGAAAUCUCCCGGCUUAACCGGGAGGGUGCGGCGAAUACUGAGAUGCUGGAGUGCCGGAGAGGUAAGCGGAAUUCCUGGUGUAGCGGUGAAAUGCGUAGAUAUCAGGAGGAACACCUGCGGUGUAGACGGCUUACUGGACGGUAACUGACGCUGAGGCACGAAAGCGUGGGUAGCAAACAGG
rnacentral:rRNA from 1 species